UACGUAGGGGGCAAGCGUUGUCCGGAUUACUGGGCGUAAAGAGCGCGCAGGCGGUCGUUCAAGUCGCGUGUGAAAGCCCCCGGCUCAACUGGGGAGGGUCACGCGAUACUGAUCGACUCGAAGGCAGGAGAGGGUAGUGGAAUUCCCGGUGUAGUGGUGAAAUGCGUAGAUAUCGGGAGGAACACCAGUGGCGAAGGCGACUACCUGGCCUGUUCUUGACGCUGAGGCGCGAAAGCUAGGGGAGCAAACGGG
rnacentral:rRNA from 1 species